rnacentral:rRNA from 1 species
GAUGACCCUUAGCGACAGGCUUAACACAUGCAAGUCGAGGGGCAGCGGGGGUAGCAAUACCCGCCGGCGACCGGCGCACGGGUGAGUAACGCGUAUGCAACUUACCUAUCAGAGGGGGAUAACCCGGCGAAAGUCGGACUAAUACCGCAUGAAGCAGGGAUCCCGCAUGGGAAUAUUUGCUAAAGAUUCAUCGCUGAUAGAUAGGCAUGCGUUCCAUUAGGCAGUUGGCGGGGUAACGGCCCACCAAACCGACGAUGGAUAGGGGUUCUGAGAGGAAGGUCCCCCACAUUGGUACUGAGACACGGACCAAACUCCUACGGGAGGCAGCAGUGAGGAAUAUUGGUCAAUGGCCGAGAGGCUGAACCAGCCAAGUCGCGUGAGGGAUGAAGGUUCUAUGGAUCGUAAACCUCUUUUAUAAGGGAAUAAAGUGCGGGACGUGUCCCGUUUUGUAUGUACCUUAUGAAUAAGGAUCGGCUAACUCCGUGCCAGCAGCCGCGGUAAUACGGAGGAUCCGAGCGUUAUCCGGAUUUAUUGGGUUUAAAGGGUGCGUAGGCGGCCUUUUAAGUCAGCGGUGAAAGUCUGUGGCUCAACCAUAGAAUUGCCGUUGAAACUGGGGGGCUUGAGUAUGUUUGAGGCAGGCGGAAUGCGUGGUGUAGCGGUGAAAUGCAUAGAUAUCACGCAGAACCCCGAUUGCGAAGGCAGCCUGCCAAGCCAUGACUGACGCUGAUGCACGAAAGCGUGGGGAUCAAACAGGAUUAGAUACCCUGGUAGUCCACGCAGUAAACGAUGAUCACUAGCUGUUUGCGAUACCCUGUAAGCGGCACAGCGAAAGCGUUAAGUGAUCCACCUGGGGAGUACGCCGGCAACGGUGAAACUCAAAGGAAUUGACGGGGGCCCGCACAAGCGGAGGAACAUGUGGUUUAAUUCGAUGAUACGCGAGGAACCUUACCCGGGUUUGAACGCAUUCGGACCGAGGUGGAAACACCUUUUCUAGCAAUAGCCGUUUGCGAGGUGCUGCAUGGUUGUCGUCAGCUCGUGCCGUGAGGUGUCGGCUUAAGUGCCAUAACGAGCGCAACCCUUGCCACUAGUUACUAACAGGUAAAGCUGAGGACUCUGGUGGGACUGCCAGCGUAAGCUGCGAGGAAGGCGGGGAUGACGUCAAAUCAGCACGGCCCUUACAUCCGGGGCGACACACGUGUUACAAUGGCGUGGACAAAGGGAAGCCACCUGGCGACAGGGAGCGAAUCCCCAAACCACGUCUCAGUUCGGAUCGGAGUCUGCAACCCGACUCCGUGAAGCUGGAUUCGCUAGUAAUCGCGCAUCAGCCAUGGCGCGGUGAAUACGUUCCCGGGCCUUGCACAAAGCGCCCGUC